UCCACACGGCGGGCCGCGAUAGCAGAUGGCGGAGCAGAUCAACCAGCUACACUCUCGCCCGCAGUGCUCGCGACUUAACAAAUUCGCGAAACCAUGCCAACCCCUCGCGCUCAUGCUGCGCAUGUAUCGCGAAUAGAAGUCGUCGAAAUGGAGGCGGAGCAGAAACGUCGUUUGGCCGCUAUGGCGUUGGCUCUUUGCGUGGACGAAGAAGAUUACUACCCUGCCCCGAAAAGGUCGUGUUGGGUGAAGGAUUGGAUGUGCAGGAAGGAGCUCGGCCUGCAGAACCAACUCUUCAAAGAGCUGGUAGUGUCCGACCCUUCUGAGUACAGACGGCUCCUGCGCGUCAGCCGGGAGCAGUUCGCGGAACUUCUCGCGCGCAUGGGGCCUAGGAUAGCACGGAAGACGACUGUCAUGCGCCAGCCGAUACAGCCGGCGACGAAGCUGCAAGCAACGCUGCGUUACCUUGCAUCUGGUGAGAGCCACCAUUCCCUAAGUCGCCAGUUCAGAGUCGGGCACUCCACCGCCAACGAUUUCAUUCCCGAAACAUGUUCGGCUAUCUAUCAUAAGCUAAGCAAAGAUUAUAUGAAGUCACCAAAAACAGUUGAAGAUUGGCGGUACGUUAUUAGGGGGUUUGACGAAAAUUGGCAAUUUACAAACUGUGUGGGGGCAAUAGAUGGGAAGCAUGUCUGCAUAACCAAACCAGCCAACUCUGGGUCCCUUUACUUUAACUAUAAAAAGUCGUUUAGCAUAAUUCUUCUGGCUGUUGUGGACGCAAAUUAUAAAUUUACCUACAUUGACGUUGGUGUGCCCGGUGCUCGAGGCGACGCAGGAGUAUGGCAGACCACGCCCCUGCAGGAGGCAUUGGAAGGCAACAGAGCAAACUUGCCAGACCAUGUGGAAGUUGGACCAGGUCUAUUCCAAACCCCGUGUUUGUGGCCGACGACGCAUUUCCAAUCGGGAAAACCUGAUGAAGCCGUAUGGAGGUAGCAGCCUGUCGGGUGAUCAGCGGAUCUUUAAU